GGGAAGGCCUGGGGGUGGCGUCACUUCCGGUUGCCAGCACCGGGCAGUGGGAGCCCGCGCUCGUCGCGCGCAGGAGCGGGCCCGUCGCCGCCGCCAGAGCUCUCCGGAAGCUAGCAAACAACAGGCUACAGGGACCACCACUGCAAGACAACCCGUUUCAACAAAGAGGACGAAUUUGCUGUGCUCAGGUCCUCACCUUUCAGCAGUGAUUCUAUGAUGCAAGUUCCAGGAGUUUUUCUUUCUUUAAUAAUCUUCUCUAUGGCCUCUUCUCGCUGACAUUUGCCCCAGUGUUGGGCACAAAGAGGAAGGAUGCUGAAGAAUGGGUACCCACCUUUUGGCUUUUAGAACAUGGGCACUUGUGUAAAGAUGCAGCUGUGAUCCUCGGCUGUGUGUCUCACCGAAGGGACCUGAUGUUUUACAUUAUUGGUGGGAUCACAGUGUCUGUGGUAGCUUUCUUCUUCACCAUUAAGUUCCUCUUUGAACUUGCCGCACGUAUAGUCAGCUUCCUUCAGCAUGAGGACCGGGAACGCCGAGGGGAGCGAACUAUUUAUGACUACGUGCGAGGCAACUACCUGGAUCCCCGGUCCUGCAAAAUCUCCUGGGAUUGGAAGGACCCCUAUGAGGUGGGCCAUAGCAUGGCCUUCCGAGUGCAUUUAUUCUAUAAAAAUGGGCAACCCUUCCCUGCUCACCGGCCUGUGGGGCUGCGAGUUCACAUCUGCCAUGUGGAGCUAGCAAUUGAUAUUCCUGUAACCCAGGAAGUUCUUCAGGAGCCUAAUUCCAAUGUGGUGAAAGUGGCCUUCACUGUACGCAGGGCUGGGAGAUAUGAGAUCGCUGUAAAACUCGGUGGCUUGAAUGUGGCCUACAGCCCUUACUACAAGAUGUUCCAGCCAGGGAUGGUGGUUCCCUCCAAAACCAAAAUUGUCUGCCAUUUUUCUACUCUGGUGCUGACCUGUGGGCAGCAGCACACUCUGCAGAUAGUUCCCAGGGAUGAGUAUGACAAUCCUACCAGCAAUUCUGUGUCCCUGAUAGACGAGCACAAUUACAGCCUUUCCAUCCAUGAGCUGGGUCCUCAAGAAGAAGAAAGCUCUGACGUUGUGUUUGAGAAGUCUGUGGUGUCCAACCGGCAGACUUGCGAAGUGUUCUUCCGACUCACCUUGCACUGUAGGGGGUGUUUCCAUGCCUGCAUCUCGUACCAGAACCAGCCCAUAAGCAAUGGUGAUUUUGACAUCAUUGUUCUAAGUGAGAACGAAAAGAACAUUGUAGAACGCAAUGUGUCCACCUCAGGUGUCAGUAUUUACUUUGAAGCCUACCUUUAUGAUGCUCCUAGUUAUACCAACACUCAGUUGCAACUUCCACCGAUGCACCUGAGCUCCUCCCAGCGCCGUCCUUCUACUGCAACUGAGGAUGAAGAUGAAGAUUCUCCCUCUGACAGCCAAACCCCUGAGAAAGUGAAGAAACCUAAAAAAGUGUACUGCUAUGUAUCACCUAAGCAAUUCUCAGUGAAAGAAUUCUACCUGAAGAUCAUUCCAUGGCGCCUUUUCACCUUUAGAGUAUGUCCUGGCACAAAGUUUUCAUACCUUGGUCCUGAUCCUGUGCACAAAUUACUGACACUGGUGGUGGAUGAUGGGAUCCAACCCCCUGUGGAGCUCAGCUGCAAGGAGAGGAACAUCUUGGCAGCCACUUUCAUUCGCUCUCUACAUAAAAACAUAGGAGGCUCAGAGACCUUCCAGGACAAAGUGAACUUCUUUCAGCGAGAGCUACGUCAGGUGCAUAUGAAAAGACCUCAUUCAAAGGUCACGCUGAAGGUCAGCCGCCACUGUCUGCUGGAGUCGUCUUUUAAAGCCACACGAAAUUUUUCUGUUUCUGACUGGAGCAAAAACUUUGAAGUGAUUUUUCAGGAUGAAGAAGCGCUGGACUGGGGAGGUCCACGCAGAGAGUGGUUUGAGCUCAUCUGUAAGGCGUUAUUUGAUACCACCAGUCAACUCUUUACCCGCUUUAGUGAUAACAACCAGGCCUUGGUGCAUCCAAAUCCAGGGCGUCCCACAUAUUUACGACUCAAACUGUAUGAAUUUGCAGGCCGCCUAGUAGGAAAGUGUCUGUAUGAAUCAUCUCUGGGAGGUGCUUACAAACAACUGGUUCGAGCUCGCUUUACCCGAUCCUUCCUGGCUCAGAUCAUAGGACUUCGUAUGCAUUACAAGUACUUUGAAACAGAUGACCCAGAAUUCUAUAAAUCCAAAGUUUGUUUCAUACUGAACAAUGAUGUGAGUGAGAUGGAUCUGGUCUUUGCUGAAGAGAAGUAUAGCAAAACUGGACAACUGGAGAAGGUGGUGGAACUGGUGACAGGAGGGGCUCAAGUACCAGUGACCAAUGAGAACAAAAUCUUGUAUCUAAAUCUGCUUGCGCAGUACAGGCUGGCCAAUCAGGUUAGGGAGGAGGUGGAUCACUUCCUGAAAGGUCUUAACGAGUUAGUUCCUGAGAAUCUCCUGGCUAUUUUUGAUGAGAAUGAGCUUGAGUUGCUGAUGUGCGGUACUGGAGAUAUCAGUGUCUGUGACUUCAAGGCACAUGCUGUAGUGGUAGGAGGAUCUUGGCACUUCCGUGAGAAGGUCAUGAGGUGGUUUUGGACUGUGGUUUCCAGCUUCACGCAGGAAGAGCUCGCCAGGCUCUUGCAGUUCACAACUGGUUCCUCUCAGUUGCCCCCAGGAGGGUUUGCUGCACUCUGUCCAUCUUUCCAGAUCAUUGCAGCUCCAACUCACAGUACUUUGCCGACAGCCCACACUUGUUUUAACCAGCUGUGCCUCCCUACUUAUGACUCCUAUGAAGAAGUGCACAAGAUGCUGCAGCUAGCUAUCAGCGAGGGUUGUGAGGGCUUUGGCAUGCUGUGAUUUUCCCCGUUCCAGGAGAUGACUUAGCCUCCUGGCUCUUUGUGGCAAGACCCAGGUUCAAUCCUCUGCUUGUUCUCCUUUCCUUCACAUGGGCAAUGGAGGCAGAGCAAAGACUCCAUGUAAAGGAAUUUGUCAUCUAGAAGAUGUCACGUGGCCUUUCCGUGUCCCAAAUAUGUCAUCAAGAGCUCAUCUUUUCCCUUUCCCUCAUUCUCCCUUUGGUUCAAUGUGAAACAGCAAAAGGACUGUGGUGCAUUCAUCAAGGAGAUAUUGCACUUGAUUUCCCUGUACCCUGUACACCCAUCCUUCUGGGAGAAGAUGAAGUUCAUAAGCAGAAGCUAGUGAGGUGCAGGAGCUCUACUGAGCUGCUGUUAUUGUAGCUCUCUGGAAGAGGGAAGAUCAGCAUGGAGCUCUGCUGGAAACCUGGCUCACAGGAAGCCUUAGUAACUUUACAUGUCUUGGCUCAACUCCCCCUUGGCUCAACUCCCCCAGUGAUGCUCCCUGAUAGCUCAUCUGAGUCAUGAAGAGUAUAGGGUUGUGCAUCCUCUCACACCUGACCCAGAAGGGUUUCUGAUUCUUUCUCCAUCUUGCUGUGGAUGCUGCUGUCGCCUGUGCCACAGAGAAAAAUGGGCAGUAUCCACUGGAGGGAGUAACCCAAUGGGGAGUGCAAUCUCAUCGGAGCACAAGCGCUGACCCUGACAGUGAUCCUGUACUACCUCCGCCAGGGUCCAGCAGCAGAAGCGUCCUUCUCCAGCAGUGGCUGGUAAUGAGCCUCUGCAAAUUAACUGGAAGAGGAGUUUCUCCUCCAUUGAAUGUUUCUGACAGUUGACGUUGCACAGGAAGCUGUCCCAUGCCCUUGCCUUCUUUUCCCUUCUUCAGGAGAGAGAGUACGGGCAUGAGUGUGAUCCCUCAAUGCUGAGCACCAAUGCCUAUUCCACAUUCACCUUCAGGGAUGCAUGAUAUCAUCUGGCUGCCCACAUUGUCCGUUCUGGUCACCGGUUUCUUGUGAUGUCUUGGAGAGGGAGUGGUGACAGUGACCUAUUGCUGACUCCACAGCCUCCAUUUGUCCUGGCACCGCACCUGGCAUGGACUUGGGACUGGGAGAGAAAUCAUACCCACACACUUCAUGAUGAAAUCCUACAUGCUCCAGUUUGUGUCUCCAGCAAUAGCUAGGAGUUGCCUGAUGCCUUAGGAUCCUUGAUUCGAUACGGGGCCACUUGACCUGAGAUGUGUCAAGAUGUGCUGCUUGGGAAACUGGAUUUUUGUGCAUUCAGUUUCUCUGUUUGUCUCAAUUGUAGAACUAUGGAGAAUAAUUUCUUUAGAUACCUGAAUGAGAAAACCCUUGAUUUGGAUAAGAUUUCUUCUUGCUUUCAUAGUGUUAUGGCUGAGUUGGUCAGUUGGACCAGGCUGUAACUCGUGGUUCCCAUAGUGAAUUACUGUUUUAUAUGGUUUUGGCUGUUCUGCUACCAUCUUGUGUCUGCCUGACCUGGCACAUGACAGCAUAAAAUGUUUGAACAUGUGAUUAUGGGAACUAUGAAAGGAAAACACUUAUGGGAAACAGCAAAGUCCACCAGAACCUCAGCCUGUCUUGGCUUCAGCCUUACAGUGCAGAAUCUGAGGCUUUAGAAUCUUCCUCUUAAACUCCUUCCUUUUUUGUUUGGGUUUUUGUGGUGGUGGUGUGGGUUUUUUUGGGAGGGGUUUGUUUGUUUUUUUUAACUGAAUGCUUGAGAAACCCUAAUCUCUGUUCUCCAGAGCAUGAAACUUGAUUGUAGGAGGGAGGUGUUACUUCAUGAAUGUGUUCAUUUUUAGACAUAAUUUUCAAUAACUUUUUUCCAGUAAAACUAAACAGCUGUAGCUGAAGUUCACCCAAAAUUCCCGAUCAGUCUUUCCCAGCUACCCUUCUGCAGGGAUGGUGUGCUACAAAGUGUGUUGAGGCGUGGGCAAUUGCACACAGGGUUGGAAGUGGGGAGUGCAGCUGAGAGCCAAGCCUCCCCGCCUUGGUAUAAAGCUGCAAUGAACACAGACGAAGGAAGCAGAGAUCUUGCACUACAAGAGGGAUGGAGAAACUGGAAUUGGCCUAAGGCUGCUCCAGAGUUUUCUCUGAGGUGACAGCAGUUGUUGACGUGGACAGAACACAGGCCCUUCCCAUAACACAAGCAAGACAGAUGCAUCCAAGUACAACACAGAAGUGGAAGGUUUGCCUUGCAGAGGCGGUUCACCCAGCCCUUGCAUUAGGUUGUGGGCUCCUUGGGAAGCACUGCCUGUGAAGUGGUACUGGACACCAGGAAAGCAGACUUUCCACUGAGGAGAGUGCCCUGUCGUCCCUGUGUAUCCUCAAGCUGUUGCUCCCGCUCCUCUACCUGUUCUCUUCCAGUCUGUGACAAGCUGAUAUUUGAUGGCCAUCUCAGGAAAAGCCUCCUGGUGUUAAGACCCCAGUGAAAAGGGGAAGAGAAGGUUAUGGAAACUCGCUAUCUACACAAAGUGUGUUCCCUCUUUGUGGGUCACAGCCCUUAAAAAUGGCAAGAGGUUCUGCUUCCUUUUCCUUUUUCUUUCCUCCCUUAGUGAGGACAGCUGACUAAUGAGCACCCUGGCUGAAGUCCCCUGUCAGGCUGGUGUCCUGAGCAGGCUUGCUUCUGCAGGGAACGCAUGAUGGAAUGGGUUUCCUGGUCAGGACAGCCUCUGUGGGGGCUCAGGCUUUUCUGGUUUCCAGGCCCCACUCCCCACCAUGUGUAGUUCCAGCCACAGGUACUGAAGAAGCAAAAAGACCAGACCAGCCUCCUCAGGAGAGGGGAGAUUGCAGUCAGAUCACUGCAAACAGGACUUCAGUAAUUAAAAACGGACAGGUUCCCCUGAGCUGCUGUGGCUCUGCAUGAGUCACAUUCUAGCUGAGGGAUUUUUUUUUCUCCUCAAGAGUUGCUGAAGGGGCUUGAAAUAGUGUGAUGGAUAAAUAAGGAACCAGCUGUGCUCUGCAGCCAGCCCCACCAGAGCCUUUCUGCAGCAGCAGCCCACAGCAACCUCCGCUCUGCCUCACUCUGCACUCUCAUCCCUUGGGUUCUGCCAUCUGGUCCUGCUCUCCAGGUUUCUUCUUCCUAGCAGCAUGUUUUUGUUUCCUGUUGUAACCUCUUUUCCAGCAUGUGGUGUCAGCCCCUGGUAACACAUGGACAUAUGACUGGACUCCUUGGUCAUGCUGUUGUCUGGCUGUGGGACACCCACUUGGCUGGUCAGUGCCUCCGCCCUCCAUCUUGGAGAUGGUCCUGGUUAAAUGAAAGCAGAAGGAACAAUAAAACCAGCAAACCUUG